rnacentral:sRNA from 1 species
GGGGCCACGGGCGUCGGGAAGACGCUGCUGGUGAAACGGCUGCAGGAGGUGAGCUCCCGGGAUGGGAAAGGCGACCUGGGGGAGCCGCCCCCGACACGGCCCACGGUGGGCACCAAUCUUACUGACAUCGUGGCACAGAGAAAGAUCACCAUCCGGGAGCUUGGGGGGUGCAUGGGCCCCAUCUGGUCCAGUUACUAUGGAAACUGCCGUUCUCUCCUGGUGGGUUGUAAUCCUAUAUGGGCUUCCUUUAGGGAAGUGUGUCUACAUUUCUGUGACGUCCAGUCCCCAACCUUGCUGUGUGUAGAAAGGGGUUUGGGUUAUUUAGUGACUAUACUACUCAUGGAAAUAGGUCUUAGCUAGUGUUGCUUCCUGCUGGGCACCCCGUCUGGUUUCUGGUGCUUGCGCUCCCAGGCCCCCGGUAGGAGCUCACAGAGGGCUUGCUGAGGGCAGGGCUGCUGCUCUGCAGAGAACAGACUUAGCCCUCUGUGUCACUCCCCGGUACGUCUGUGUUUAUGUUGGACUUAUACGUACCUCUGGUUGGUCUCAUCUUGAUAAGGCCUGUGCCGCGGAUUCCAGUAUGGAGAACUGAUGGCCACAUGAGGACAGAGACGAGUGACACCAGGUCGUCUUCAUAAAACUCGAUUCCCUCUGCUUCUGCUUGUUCCCAAAGCUUUGUUUAAAGCUACUUUGGGCUGGGCGCGGUGGCUUACUCCUGUAAUCCCAGCACUUUAGGAAGCUGAGGUGGGCGAAAAUCACGAGGUCAGGAGAUGGAGACCAUCCUGACUAACAUGGUGAAACCCCGUCUCUACUAAAAGUACAAAAAAUUAGCCAGGCGUGGUGGCGGGUGUCUGUAGUCCCAGUUACUUGGGAGGCUGAGGCAGGAGAAUCACUUGAACCCUGAACCCUGGAGGCGGAGUUUCAGUGAGCCGAGAUCGUGCCACUGCACUCGGAGCGAGACUCCGUCUCAAAAAAUAAAUUAAUUAAUUAAAAAAUGCAGUUUUGCUCUCCCAGUGCCAGGCCUGUGAGGCCCAGGGGAGGAAGUUUGGCAGCGGGGCAUUGCUGCUGUCUUUUUCUUUUUCCCCAGUUUGUGAUGGACGCCUCUGACCCCACCCAGCUCUCUGCAUCCUGUGUGCAACUCUUAGGUCUCCUUUCUGCAGAACAACUUGCAGAAGCAUCGGUGCUGAUACUCUUCAAUAAAAUCGACCUACCCUGUUACAUGUCCACGGAGGAGAUGAAGUCAUUAAUCAGGCUUCCAGACAUCAUUGCUUGUGCCAAGCAGAACAUCACCACGGCAGAAAUCAGCGCCCGUGAAGGCACUGGCUUAGCAGGGGUGCUGGCCUGGCUCCAGGCCACCCACAGAGCCAACGAUUGACUGCACGGCAGAGGCGCGGCUGGCCUGAGCUGGGGAGAGGUGGCAGAGGGCAGUAUGGCUUUGCUGCCAAUAGUUUCUUCUCACAGGGGCAGAAUAACCCAAAGUAACCCUACAUGAUGGGGCUCUGCGCUGAGAUGCAAUGAUGCGUAAACUGAGGCAUGUGGAGAUGGAAGUUGACAUCUGGCCUCUGAAAAAAGUGUCCCCAGGGGCCAGGCAUGGUGGCUCACACCCGUAAUCCCAGCACUUUGAGAGGCCGAGGCGGGCGUAUCACCUGAGGUCGGGAGUUCGAGACUGGCCUGACCAACAUGGAGAAACCCUGUCUCUACUAAAAAUACAAAAUUAGCUGGGUGUGGUGGUGCAUGGCUGUAAUCCUAGCUACUUGGGAGGCUGAGGCAGGAGAAUCCCUUGAACCUGGGAGGUGGAGGUUGCAGUGAGUCGAGAUCAUGCCAUUGCACUCCACCUGGGCAACAAGAGUGAAACUCCGUC